rfam:Gossypium raimondii Chr02_contig_190, whole genome shotgun sequence.
AUACUUACCAGAACGGGGUCUAUGAGCGAUCAUAAAGGCUCAUGGCCUAGGACGGUGACCUUCAUUGCACUUUGGAGGGGUGCUGCUGUAAGGUCUCCUCAAGUAGGAGAGCCUACGUCAUAAUUUGUGGCAGCGGGUAUCCAAGAUUUGAUCGUUGUUUUCA